rnacentral:sRNA from 1 species
CCGUUUCAAUUUGUUGUGGACAAAUAUAGUGAAUGUGCGUGUCAAUCCCACCUGCUGUAACUAUCAUAUUUUCGCCAGCGAUAGCUUCUGUGCUCGCACCAACAACGAUAGUUACGCCGUCUUGAAUAUCAGGGUUACCCGCCUUGCCAACACCAACAAUUUUGCCGUCUUUAAUACCAAUAUCCGCCUUAACAAUUCCCCAGUGGUCAAGGAUUAGGGCGUUUGUAAUAACAGUGUCAACAACGCCAUCAGCAGAAGUCAUAGAAGCGUUGCACCCCAUACCG